rnacentral:rRNA from 1 species
GACGAACGCUGGCGGCGUGCUUAACACAUGCAAGUCGAACGGAAAGGCCCUGCUUUUGUGGGGUGCCCGAGUGGCGAACGGGUGAGUAACACGUGAGUAACCUGCUCUUGACUUUGGGAUAACUUCAGGAAACUGGGGCUAAUACCGGAUAGGAGCUCCUGCUGCAUGGUGGGGGUUGGAAAGUUUCGGCGGUUGCGGAUGGACUCGCGGCUUAUCAGCUUGUUGGUGGGGUAGUGGCUUACCAAGGCUUUGACGGGUAGCCGGCCUGAGAGGGUGACCGGCCACAUGGGGACUGAGAUACGGACCAGACUCCUACGGGAGGCAGCAGUGGGGAAUAUUGCACAAUGGGCGGAAGCCUGAUGCAGCAACGCCGCGUGCGGGAUGACGGCCUUCGGGUUGUAAACCGCUUUCGCCUGUGACGAAGCGUGAGUGACGGUAAUGGGUAAAGAAGCACCGGCUAACUACGUG